rnacentral:rRNA from 1 species
AGUCCAGACUCCUACGGGAGGCAGCAGUGGGGAAUAUUGCACAAUGGGGGGAACCCUGAUGCAGCAACGCCGCGUGGGUGAAGAAGUAUUUCGGUAUGUAAAGCCCUAUCAGCAGGGAAGAAGAUGACGGUACCUGACUAAGAAGCCCCGGCUAAAUACGUGCCAGCAGCCGCGGUAAUACGUAUGGGGCAAGCGUUAUCCGGAUUUACUGGGUGUAAAGGGAGCGCAGGCGGCGCGGCAAGUCAGAUGUGAAAGCCCGGGGCUCAACCCCGGGACUGCAUUUGAAACUGCCGUGCUGGAGUGUCGGAGAGGCAAGUGGAAUUCCUAGUGUAGCGGUGAAAUGCGUAGAUAUACGGAGGAACACCAGUGGCGAAGGCGGAUUGCUGGACAGUAACUGACGCUGAGGCGCGAAAGCGUGGGGAGCAAACAGGAUUAGAUACCCGCGUAUAA